UACGUAGGUCCCGAGCGUUGUCCGGAUUUAUUGGGCGUAAAGCGAGCGCAGGUGGUUUAUUAAGUCUGGUGUAGAAGGCAGUGGCUCAACCAUUGUAUGCAUUGGAAACUGGUAGACUUGAGUGCAGGAGAGGAGAGUGGAAUUCCAUGUGUAGCGGUGAAAUGCGUAGAUAUAUGGAGGAACACCGGUGGCGAAAGCGGCUCUCUGGCCUGUAACUUACACUGAGGCUCGAAAGCGUGGGGAGCAAACAGG
rnacentral:rRNA from 1 species